GCCAAAUCUACUUAAGAGAAGCUACUUUAUAAAAAUCCUUGUAUGAGCAGUUAAACAAGAUAGCUACAGGGAUGUUCACUGCCAUGUGAUUUGCAAUAGCAACAAAAGAAACAACUAUCUAAAUCUUUUAAUAGAAGAAUAAUAAAAACAAUUAAAAUGGAUCCAUAAAAUAGAACACUAUGCAGCCUUAAUGGAACAUGCUGCUGACUUUGAUAUGCUAACCUGGCAUACAUCUGUGAUACAUUGUUUAGGAAGAAAGUAGGAUGUAGAACAAUGUGCGAAGGAAGAGACGUAGAGAAGAAUGCCCAGAACAUGAGUGUACAGCUUGACGGAUUUUCACGAACUGAGCACAUCUAUUUUACUAGCAUCCAGAUCAAGAAAUGGGACACUAACAACAUCGCAGAAACCCCUUUCAUGAUCCCUACCAAUCACUACUGAUCUCCACCCCUGCCAAGUAGCAUAAGAAACUCCAGGGACCACAGUUUCAUCAUGAACAAAUCCAAGAUUAACUGGCACAUAAAGCUGGGGAAAUGAGGAUCCGAUAAGAUCAUGAGCCUAAGAAUGUUAUUCUGUAAAUCAUCAACUAACGAAUCACUGGGACUUGAAUCCAGCAAAUAUCCG
rnacentral:lncRNA from 1 species